AAGGGCACCACAAGAACGCGUGGAGCAUGUGGCUUAAUUUGACUCAACGCGGGAAAACUUACCGGGUCCGGACACACUGAGGAUUGACAGGCGAAGUAAAUAUGCUAGUCCUUUCAUGAUUGUGUGAUAGGUGGUGCAUGGCCGUUCUUAGUUCGUGGAGUGAUCUGUCUGCUUAAUUGCGUUUCAGAUAAAUUUGGAUAAUAUGUAGUGACAAUGUGCUUAGUGUAACAGCUAACUCAUUUAACUCUAUAUCCAUUGAAAGCAACGAACGUGACCGCAACCCUUUGUUGUGAUUUAAUCUAUUGAUUAUCACAAACUAAGGGGACCGCCAGGGUUGUCAAACCGGAGGAAGGUUGCGGCAAUAACAGGUCUGUGAUGCCCUUAGAUGUUCCGGGCUGCACACGUGCUACAAUGAUUGUUCCAGUAAGUAUCUAUUGGUAUUGAUUGUUGCUCUUCGGAGCAAUGAUCCACAAUCGUGCAUAUCCUUUUACGAGGUGUUGCGCAUUGUGAAACCUACCUCGAAAGUGCGGUAGGCAAUCAAUUCCAAGUGACAAUCUCCCGCGCACAAAUUAAGUGAUUAAUAGUGUGUACUUUUGUACUAGCUGUUAUAUCACGUGCUCUAUUCAAUUCGUGGUCGGGACAGACCAUUGCUAAUUGUUGGUCUCGGUCUCAACUAGGAAUGCCUUGUACGGGUCUUUGGUUCAACAGACCACCCGGAAUACGUCCCUGCCCUUUGUACACACCGCCCGUCGCUCUUACCGAUGGACUACUCUGUGAGUUUGAGGGACUGGUCUCGUUUCGACAAGACUAUGGAAACUCAUGCGAACAGUGUGGUCUAAAGGAAAGAGAAGUCGUAACAAGGCAUCGGUAGGUGAACCUGCAGAAGGAUCA
rnacentral:rRNA from 1 species